GUGAAAGAGGAAGGGGAAAGGGGCAAUGGCGGAGGGAGUGGGAGAUUCAGACCCAUGGCUGGGAAUUGAUAAGCUCUAUCACCUUCUCAUGUCUUUCUUUCUCACUUUUCUCUUUUACUCUUUCGCUUCUCUCACUCCAUAUCGCCGCCACGCUAUUUCCAUCGGAUCUCUCUUCUCCCUCCUCGCCGGCGCCGCCAAAGAGGCCGCCGAUCACCUCGGCUACUUCCACUCUUCGGGGGCUUCUGUCAGGGACGCCCUUGCCAACAUCCUCGGCGUCUGCAUCGCUUCCUUCGCUCUUUCUCUCUUCCCAUUCUCACUCCGAUCCCCUCCGCCUCAUCACACGCGUGCCCUUUCCCUUGUUUGAUCAUGUGUCCAAGUUGGAUCCUGAUGACGAUAGAGCAAGUCACCUUCUGAAGCUGAUUGAAGCCUUUGCUUUGGCGUCAUCGUCUUCUUCGGGCAGCUUCACUGCAGUGUAGGUACCUGCACCGGCUAAAGCUCCAAGUACGGGAGCUACCAGAUAAACCCAUAUGGCUUUGUAGUUGUUUGCGGCGAUGGCAGGACCUAGUGUUCUUACUGGGUUCAUUGAGCCUCCUGAUACUGGCCUGCAAUUCAAGGUACCCAUGAGUAGUUAGCAGAGACAUAAACGGUGACAUACCCUGCUAUCAGUAUGUUGAGCAUCACAGUAGCUCCCACCGCGAUUCCCGCGAGUUCUCCCACCUGCAAUUACAUCCAUCACGGACUUAGAUGCUACACUAAUCCGUAUAUAUAUAUACUUGUUCUGGUUUAAUCAUCGAUUCAAGACGUUUGGAUCACGAAUCGAUGAUUAAAUCAGAACAAUAAUUUUAUACUUAUGCGUACAAAUACGAAUACAUAUACACCCUUCAUACUUUAUUAGCUAAAACAGGUGUCAACUCUGUUUCUGCAGAAACUGUUAAUUGGUAUUAAAUUUGAUUUAUUCCCGGUAAUUGUACGUUUCCAGAUCUGUGCUUGAUUGUUAAAUAAGGGGUGGUGAUGUUGCUGUUUUUAUGUUCAAAGUAGGAAAAUAUUAUUUUGUGGUUCCAAAUCCUUAAAACGCGGACAAAGCAUGAUAAUCUCACUGCAAAAUAAGCAUAAACUUUCAUUUCAUGUGCCUCAACAAUAAUAUUUUCUGGAUCUGUCGCACAACCCAUCACACUUGUCUUCAACUUUCAUGCAUAGACUAAGAUUUGAAAUAAUGUCAGUGUAAAAAAUAAGUCCACUCCUUAUCAAUUUUCAUCAGAGAGAUUCUUUUUACAUGCAUGAAAUUUAACGUAUACAAACACUAACCGGUUUUGGAUUAAUAUAUAUAACCUUUUGUAGAUUAAAAUUGAAUUCAGUUUUGUUAAAAGUUUAUGUGGCAGGAGUGUCCAAAAGUUUAUGGAAUCACGAAAAGUACUUUUUUUUUUUUUGUUUUUCCCUGAUAAAACAAAACUGUUCCUCUGUCAUCAAUCAGACAUCAUGGUCAUGGAACAUAAACAAAAAAACCACGUGUAAGGAGACAGAGAG